UGUGCCGCGAAAUUAGGAGCGAGCGUCUAUCGGUCAAGGUAAAUGCGGCGCGCAUUAGACAGGCUGCAAGUUGGCCAGGGAUGAGACGAAGAGAGAGAGAGAGAGAGACGCGAGAAGGAAAGAGAUAGGAGGAGGUGUAAGGGUGAAAGCGACAGAGAGGAGGACGAAAUGGGAAAUGGAGGGGGUAGGUAGGAGCCUAAUUGGUCGAAAUUAGCAAGUUUAGUCAUUAGUGGAGUUUCCGGCGGUGGCGGUGGGUCCACUUGACUCCACUUCCUGGGAAAGGAAGGACGGAAGGAAGGAAGGUGUGUACAGCUACCAUCGGUUACGCGGUGCCUGGAUAUGCUUCUGGACGUAUCUACGUGUCUGUGUACGCGUUUGAAUAUACGUAUAUAUAUAUGUGUGUAUGUGUGUGUGUAUACAAAUGCUCGCUUUUGAACAUAUAUACGAGUAUGCGGGUAUAAAUGCAUCCCGUAAGUAGGUAUGGGUGACACCGGCCAAGUUUGCACGCGCGCCAGUCGGCGAGCAAGCGAAGCAGGCGCGAGUUGGGAUACGUCACGGAGCACUUCGUGACCGCAAAUAACUGUUUCCAUUGGAAUCCUGCGGUUUUACACCUUACCGCCGCCACGAUAUCAACGCCUUCACGCGUCGAAGGAAGCGAUUGAACGUGCAUGUUCCGGGUCGAGGAUGAUUCUUCUAUUCUAUGUAUUAUUUUGGAAAAAUGAUAGAUAGGAACGAGACAAAAAAGGGAGUAAUUUGAGGGGGGAUAAUCAAUUGAGAAUGUAUUUCUGCUCUUAUUUGCAGGUUUGUAAUACAAGAAAGGGAGGAUUCAUUGGAUAAAAUUACACGAACACAGGACACGUUGGAAGUUUGUGUCCUUUUCUUCAGUUUAGAAAAGAAUGGAUGAAAUUUUAUUUUGUUUUUUUGGAUUGUUAUUAUUCUUCUGUUUCUAAAGCAGUGACAUGUUUUAUCAAAUAUGUUUGCAACUUACAAAAAAAGGAAAGACCAAUAUAUAUAAAUAAAUCAAAUUAAAUUGUCACAGAGUGAUUUACAUUAAUUUUGCUUGCAUAGUUUUCAUUCAAAUUCCAGUUAGUUUUGGAUCUUGUAUAAUCAGAAUAGGAAAAUGCAUUUUUCAUAAUAUGAUUUAUGCAAGAAUAAGAAAAAUUUAGAUUUAUGUAAGACAGGUAUUUCUAAAGCGUAGCCGUAAGACGAGUGUUUGCGACAGGGCAAUUCGAUAAAUCUAGCGACACACGGUUAAUACCCUGUAUUUAGAUUGUAUUAUCGCGGUCCAGUAAGUCAAGGAUGCAAACGAACGUGUUCCCGAUUCCUCGUAUUUACCAUGAAAACUUUUAACCAACAUUUGGACCGGUGCCCACUCUGAUGAGGACGUUUUACAGCCUAACUAUUCGGACCCCUUCGUCCCGAAUCUAUCGUUCAAAAAGCUUUAUAUUAAAUUUGAUAUUAUGGACAAACUUUAAUUUAAAAAUUUAAUCAGACAAAAUUAAUGUAAUAUUCAUCGUGUAGACGUGAAUUAUAUCAUUUCAAUAAUUUAAAGAACGUUCUUUUCGUUUGUAUUUUAUCCAAAGAUAAUUAAUCUCUUUUUACCAAAAUAUUGUAUUUUACUCCUAUUUAAUAUUUACUCAGAAUAAAAAUGUUAACUAUUUAAAAAGCACAAAAAA